AGUGGGGGACACUGUUGGGACCGCCUCUGCUAAAGAGGAGGAAGGAAUGGGCAACGGUAGGUCAGCAUGCCCCGAAUUAUCCGGGCUACACGCGGGCUACAAUGGUCAGGACAAUGGGUAUCGACACCGAGAGGUGGAGGCAAUCUCCUAAACCUGUCCUUAGUUCGGAUUGUGGGCUGCAACUCGCCCACAUGAAGCUGGAAUCCGUAGUAAUCGCGUUUCAAAAUAGCGCGGUGAAUAUGUCCCUGCUCCUU
rnacentral:rRNA from 1 species